AUUAUGGAGAGUUUGAUCCUGGCUCAGGAUGAACGCUGGCGGCGUGCCUAAUACAUGCAAGUCGAGCGGACAGACGGGAGUGCUUGCACUCCUUGAUGUCAGCGGCGGACGGGUGAGUAACACGUGGGUAACCUACCUGUAAGACUGGGAUAACUUCGGGAAACCGGAGCUAAUACCGGAUGAUAUGUUCCACCUCAUGGUGG
rnacentral:rRNA from 1 species